AGAGUUUGAUCCUGGCUCAGAUUGAACGCUGGCGGCAUGCUUUACACAUGCAAGUCGAACGGCAGCACGGGCUUCGGCCUGGUGGCGAGUGGCGAACGGGUGAGUAAUGCGUCGGAACGUGCCGAGUAAUGGGGGAUAACGCAUCGAAAGGUGUGCUAAUACCGCAUACGCUCUGAGGAGGAAAGCGGGGGACCUUCGGGCCUCGCGUUAUUCGAGCGGCCGACGUCUGAUUAGCUAGUUGGUGGGGUAAAGGCCCACCAAGGCGACGAUCAGUAGCUG
rnacentral:rRNA from 1 species